AUACGGAGGGGGCUAGCGUUGUUCGGAAUUACUGGGCGUAAAGCGUGCGUAGGCGGUUGAUUUAGUCAGAUGUGAAAGCCCCGGGCUCAACCUGGGAACUGCAUUUGAAACUGGUCAACUGGAGUAUGGUAGAGGGGGGUAGAAUUUCUGGUGUAGCGGUGAAAUGCGUAGAUAUCAGAAGGAAUACCGAUGGCGAAGGCAGCCCCCUGGACCAAUACUGACGCUGAGGUACGAAAGCGUGGGGAGCAAACAGGAUUAGAAACCCCAGUAGUCC
rnacentral:rRNA from 1 species